rnacentral:misc_RNA from 1 species
UUUCCGUAGGUGAACCUGCGGAAGGAUCAUUAAUGAGUUGUCAUGGGGUUCGAUGCUGGCAGCCAAUUUUUGGAUGCAUGUGCUUGCCCUAACAAUCAUCUUCCAAACACCUGUGCACAUUUUUGAGGGAGUCUUGAGUUGGUUGCCGCUCUUGGGUGAUUUUCUCACAUUCCCUUAAAUCAUUAUACGCUAUUAACAAUGUUGAACGUGCUCUGUGCCGCAAGGCUAUUAAUAUAAUACAACUUUUAACAACGGAUCUCUUGGCUCUCACAUCGAUGAGGAACGCAGC